CUGUAAUCACUAUAAAAGAGGUCAAACUAAUCUAGUCACCCAACUCACAUGCCCCUGGCACAAUUUGAUGCAAAAAUACAGGAGUCUAGGUCCACCGUCAACCCCGACGGCACCCGACGGUCUGACACCGUCUAGCUCUACUAUAACAACACACUGGGCUCCUCAGCACGAUCGUAAACUCACCCUACGCUCUUCUAAGUAUCCACCUCGCACUAAUAGCGGUGAUACAGAAAUCUGGGUCCACCGUCAACCCCGACGACACCAGACAGCACGAGACAGUUUAUACACUACUGUAAAAACAAGUUCGGCAUCCCAGCACGAGCGUAAACUCACCCUACACUAAUCUGGGUAUCCACCACAUACUAGCAGUGGCGAUACAAAAGGACCACAACUCCUACAGCCAAAUCUGGUAACUUUUCAGAAAAUGACAGUGUAGGGUUUAGAAUGUUUUCUCCUAAGUCCAAUCCAAGUCCAACAUGUAUAAUAAUCUCUAGAAACAUUAAACUAUGCUCCAAAUUCAGAUUCCAUAAACAAAUAUGCAAAUCGAGAAAUUCGAACUAUUAAACACGAUACUAUACAUCAAAAUAACACAUGCUGACACUCGGCUUAGACGGAAACUCGACGAUUUCGGUAAACAUUAAUCCACCUCGAAAAGCUCGUCCAACAACGGCGAGAAGUCGAAAGGAGGGAGUCCACGCGCUCG
rnacentral:lncRNA from 1 species